rnacentral:rRNA from 1 species
UAUGCACAGCCGUAAACUUUAAUAGCAUAUUACACCCGCUAUCCGCCCGGGUACUACGAGCAUAAGCUUAAAACCCAAAGGACUUGGCGGUGCUUUAGAUCCCCCUAGAGGAGCCUGUUCUAGAACCGAUAACCCCCGUUAAACCUCACCUUCCCUUGCCCUUCCCGCCUAUAUACCGCCGUCGUCAGCAUACCCUGUGAAGGAACAACAGUAAGCAAAAUUGGCACAGCCUAAAACGCCAGGUCGAGGUGUAGCAUAUGAGAAGGAAAGAAAUGGGCUACAUUUCCUUUUUAAGGAGAUACGAAUUAUGUUAUGAAACUAACACAUGAAGGAGGAUUUAGCAGUAAGUAAGAAAAAGAGAGUCUUACUGAACCCGGCCCUGAAGCGCGCACACACCGCCCGUCACUCUCCCCCAGCCACUUGACACCCAUUUUUAAUAAACAAAAUAGGCAAAGGGGAGGCAAGUCGUAACAUGGUAAGUGUACCGGAAGGUGUACUUGGAAAAAU